rnacentral:rRNA from 1 species
CCUACGGGAGACAGCAGUGAGGAAUAUUGGUCAAUGGGCGGAAGCCUGAACCAGCCAAGUAGCGUGCGGGAUGAAGGCCCUACGGGUCGUAAACCGCUUUUGCACGGGGAUAACACCCGCCACGUGUGGAGGUCUGCAGGUACCGUGCGAAUAAGGGCCGGCUAAUUCCGUGCCAGCAGCCGCGGUAAUACGGAAGGACCGAGCGUUAUCCGGAUUGAUUGGGCUUACAGGGAGCGUAGGCGGGCGUUCAAGUCAGCUGUAAAAUCGCGCGGCUCAACCGCGCCCCGCAGUUGAAACUGGCCGCCUUGAGUUCACUACAGGCAGGCGGCAUUCGUGGUGUAGCGGUGACAUGCAUAGAUAUCACGAGGAACCCCGAUUGCGAAGGCAGCCUGCCGGGGUGCGACUGACGCUGAGGCUCGAAGGUGCGGGUAUCAAACAGGAUUAGAUACCCUUGUAGUC